CAGUAGCCGCGGUAAUACAGAGGGUGCGAGCGUUAAUCGGAUUUACUGGGCGUAAAGCGUGUGUAGGCGGCUUCUUAAGUCGGAUGUGAAAUCCCUGAGCUUAACUUAGGAAUUGCAUUCGAUACUGGGAAGCUAGAGUAUGGGAGAGGAUGGUAGAAUUCCAGGUGUAGCGGUGAAAUGCGUAGAGAUCUGGAGGAAUACCGAUGGCGAAGGCAGCCAUCUGGCCUAAUACUGACGCUGAGGUACGAAAGCAUGGGGAGCAAACAGGAUUAGAUACCCGCGUAGUCCCUGUCUCUUAUAC
rnacentral:rRNA from 1 species